ACAACACAUUAGUUGAAUCAAUCAAAGUAUGAUCAUCAAGCUUACACAAUACUUUCAUCUAUCAGAUUUUUGGAAAAGAUGGCAGGUACCGUAAAGUUUUUCAAGAUAAGUCAAGGGGGGGAAUUCGUAUUUACAUGUACUUGUUUGGAUCCUGAAAAUCAGAAUUGGAGGCCAACCAAUGGUGAGGAAACAGAGGGGAAAAAAACGCACCCCAUUUCUAAUAGUUGAGGAAGGACCUUCUGAAGAUAGUGAGCAGGACUAGACCAAGCUUUAACUCUAAGAUUGACAAUGUUACUUAUGUUAUUAUUGAACCUCUGAAGUAUGUCACUUGGGAGCUCUCUUACCACAUGCACACGAUUUCCAAGUGUUUCUAUGAAGAAAUCUUCAUCAAAAAUGUCACCAAAGUUGCUGCCAGACAUCAAAAGAAAAAUAUCAACACAUAAACAAGUUCAGAAGUAUUCAUAUGGACUAGAAAAUAACUGCCAUUAACUUGGAUUACAUAACAUGAUAAACAAAAUAUCUAUGAGAACUUUUAUGUAAUUAUUUAUAGAAUUAAAAUCUACGUAAACGUGUUCCAGAUAUGUGGCACAUAACUGAGAUUGCAGUAUUGCACUUUAGAUGUGUUAAUUAUGCACAGCCAGGGAUUGAUUUUCUCUUUUCUUCUUUUUUAGUAAGAAAAACAAAUCGUCAAGAAGAAGAUAGUAGACAUAUAAUGACACAAGGUGUAAAAUCAUCCAAUCAAAAAGUGUUUCUUUAAAUGCUGUAGGAUAUCCCUUGGUGACCAAUGUGUUAAGACUUUCAAUUCAACAUUUGUGGUAGAAGCUUUGCAUAUGUAGUAAUAUUGUAAUAAGUUUACAUAACGUCCAAAGUUAAGAAUAUUAAAAUGGAUUGCCUUAAGAAUGAAUGGUACGACAACUCAUUUCGGUACAAGAAGUUUGUCUACUUAUACAAUUUUCUACAUGACCAAGGUCAAUUAAUUAUUUCAUCUUAAGUAUGUGUUUUAAUGGUUUUCACAGUUACUUUUAUAUGGGAAGAGUACACCAAUUUAUAGAUAGAUAUGAAAUACAGGGAACGAAGGUCAAGGAUGCUCUAACUAAUACUUAGUCUCAUAAAGGAUUCAGAUGUGAAAGAUUUUCCAUUACUAAAGGUUGGUUUUGUUUGGAUAGUUCCUUCCAAGGCAAACAUUUUUCAAUCCUCAAAUUUGAAGUCCAUGUCAAUGAUUUUAUUUAAAGGGCAAUCAAAGAACAAGAUGAUCUUCCAUCUACCCUAUGUCACCAGUAUUAUUUGCAAGUUAAAGGUAGACAUAUAGGAAGCAGAAUGAGAAAACAUGGAAAAUUAUCAAACUAGAUUCGCGGACGCUAGAAACGAAGCUCCCCAAUUCUUGGUCGCCGCCAGUUAAUUGGCCCAUUUCGCGGCCGGUGGGCUAGACAUGCCCCACUUCGUCCCCUCCAUUUCGCGGGCGCGCCGAGGGUGAGUUGAGGGGCAACUCCAUUUCAUGGGCGACGCCCUUGAGUUGGCGAGACAAAAUUCUAAUCCGUGCGUAUUCCUGGAAUUAAUGUUUUUUAAAUAUAAUUAUAUAAAAAAGUCUCAAUUCUACUAACAUGAGAAUAAAUUUAUAAUAUCUUUAAAAUAUUUUCAAAUAUUUUUAAAUGAAGUUAAAAACUAUAUACUUUCAAGGUCCUAAAAUCUCAAAAGAUCAAUAAAUUUUUCCCCUUGUUUAACAAGUAAGAUGAUAUUUAAGUGGGAGAUAAAUAAUUUCUUCUUGACAUAGACAAUAUUGAAAUCAAAGGUUGAAUGACUGAGGCAUAUUCUAGAUUAAAGUAAAAGGACACCAAAACAUCAAGAUGAAUAUGCAACAACAGAAAAAUAGACUAAGAAUCCUUUUGAUUUUUGUAGAUAACUAAAGCAUGGUUCAUAAUAACUUAAAACUUUCCCCAAUCCCCAA